UAACACAAUUUAUGAACACUGCUUGUAGAAAGUAUACAUUUCAUGGGAGAUGUUUACAACGGAACUAUUAGCUGCUAUUAUUUUUGCGUUGCCUGUUUCGGAUUGAGGCAUUAUCAAUACAGUCAAAUAUUUGAGUGAUUUUUUUUCUUAAACCCUUUCACAAAUUGCAUGUGCAAUGAUUUAUCGGAUGUUUUCACGAAGUUGAUUAUUAGUUCCAAAUACAUGUUCGUGUACUUAUUUUUUUUGUUUGUUUGUUUGUUUGUUUUAUUCUGCAGAUAAUGAGUCGACCUGCUGACUGUGCAGAAUGAGUGCAAAGGCGCAAGGCUGUAGAGUUUACGAUAGGUAAAAAAAAAAUGUUUUUUUUUUUGUUUUUGUUUUUUUAAAAAAGCCAGAACAUCGGAUUUCACAGACGCGCAUUGUCACAGAAUGUUUGCGGGCCUUCCCGUGCAAGGCAAUCGUUUAUACGCUCGUAAAAAAAAACAAAAAAAAGGCGUCUUGUAAAACCAAAUUGUCGACCUAAAGGUGACAAGGGGCAGCGUCUUUACGCCCUCUCGUACACAAGAGCACCCCAGCCCCAUCUCGGGGUAGAUACCACUUCAUCAUCAUCAUCCUCCUCCUCAUCCUCAUCAUGCACAUGGAAGCCGUUUGAGUCAGAGGAGGGAGAGUGUGAUUAAGAUUUCGGUGAGGUAAUUGAAUUGCACGAAUGCUGCUUGCGCAGCAGUUUCCGGAGAGGGAGACAGCACGGACUCCCCCAUCUGGACAUCGGAAGAACUGUAUGGGUUUGCGUUCUCCGGCUGCGUUCAGUACAGUUUGGCCCUUACGUAUUCGAGGUGCUUUGGUUGCGCGCCUGCUGGCGAGCUCGUGCUAAAAUGGAGGACAGCAAGCUGGCUUCUUUUAUAGGCUCAAGAGCCACUCAGCAUGGGCAGCAUCGAACACGCCUAAUGAGGGCGUGCAGCGGUGCCAUGUGACGCAUGGCAGCUUUUACCAGGCUGAGUAAUUGCUUGUGACCUUCAGUAAACACGUCUCGUAUGUCUUCGUGUUCCCAGCAUACAGUCGGACUGCUACAUGGCUGAGCUUGGAAAACCAACCGUGAUGUACACCACGUCACCGUUCUCACCGAAUCAUCAGAUCCUCGAGAUGUAGCCCAUCCGUGAUUGCCUGACCUCCCGUACACAGCCUAGCAACACGCUAUGACCUCAUCCCUCAACCACCCACCCAUAAUGGGAAAUGAAUGAGCAAAAACAAUCUUGCCUUUUUCUAUGCCACCUUGAUAUCUAAAGCGUAACGCCACACACAUCAUUUGUGUCCACAUCUUUGGAAGGAUAACUUGCAUCCAUAAAAAACAUUUUGAUCAUUUCAAAAUGAUGCAUUACUGUGUGA